rnacentral:lncRNA from 1 species
AAAAUCUUAUUAAAAUGCAGUGAGAAGGUGGCACAAACAGGGGCUAUGUUGAAUUCUCGUAAAUCGUUUUCAUUGUCCAGUGGAUUCUACUUGCUAGCACACAUCCUGGAAAAUCGACAAGAAUCAUUAAUUUACUUAUGAAACUAUAAAGUGAGGAAAUCAGAUGGCAUCUUUCAAGUUGCAGCUGAAGCUUCGGACAUGUUGCCUCCAUCGAAAAUACUUUAUUCGAGAAAGUGAUAUGGAAGCAUUAAGACCAACUUCUUGACGAAUGCCAGCAAGCCCCGGUACGCAAUGGUAAUAUUAAAGCCAAGAUAAAAAUAUUAAAUAUCUUGGCAAAAGACGAAAUCGAAGGUGAUACUUGCACUUUCUUAGUGAAAUCUGAAAAACUACCUUGCAAAUUGGAGCUAUAUGGGUUACGAGUUGGUAAAAUAUCUGCUUCAGAUAUAAGUAACCAGGAAAGCUUGGUGGAUGGAUAUAUCCUGUUACCAUGCAACUAUUUUAACCAUCAAUU